UACGGAGGGAGCUAGCGUUGUUCGGAAAUACUGGGCGUAAAGCGCACGUAGGCGGCGCAGCAAGUCAGGUGUGAAAUCCCGGGGCUCAACCCCGGAACUGCCCUUGAAACUGCAGUGCUAGAAUCUUGGAGAGGUCAGUGGAAUUCCGAGUGUAGAGGUGAAAUUCGUAGAUAUUCGGAAGAACACCAGUGGCGAAGGCGACUGACUGGACAAGUAUUGACGCUGAGGUGCGAAAGCGUGGGGAGCAAACAGG
rnacentral:rRNA from 1 species